rnacentral:rRNA from 1 species
UAAUACGGAGGGUGCGAGCGUUAAUCGGAAUUACUGGGCGUAAAGGGUGCGUAGGUGGUUAUAUAAGUUAACUGUGAAAUCCCCGGGCUCAACCUGGGCAGGUCAGUUAAGACUGUGUGACUAGAGUAUGGGAGAGGGUAGUGGAAUUUCCGGUGUAGCGGUGAAAUGCGUAGAGAUCGGAAGGAACACCAGUGGCGAAGGCGGCUACCUGGCCUAAUACUGACACUGAGGCACGAAAGCGUGGGGAGCAAACAGGAUUAGAUACCCUGGUAGUCCACGCUGUAAACGAUGUCAACUAGCUGUUGGCCUUAUUAAAGAGGUUAGUGGCGCAGCAAACGCGAUAAGUUGACCGCCUGGGGAGUACGGUCGCAAGAUUA